rnacentral:rRNA from 1 species
GGUGAACGCUGGCGGUAGGCCUAACACAUGCAAGUCGAACGGCAGCACAGUAAGAGCUUGCUCUUACGGGUGGCGAGUGGCGGACGGGUGAGGAAUACAUCGGAAUCUACUUUUUCGUGGGGGAUAACGUAGGGAAACUUACGCUAAUACCGCAUACGACCUACGGGUGAAAGCAGGGGAUCUUCGGACUUUGCGCGAUUGAAUGAGCCGAUGUCGGAUUAGCUAGUUGGCGGGGUAAAGGCCCACCAAGGCGACGAUCCGUAGCUGGUCUGAGAGGAUGAUCAGCCACACUGGAACUGAGACACGGUCCAGACUCCUACGGGAGGCAGCAGUGGGGAAUAUUGGACAAUGGGCGCAAGCCUGAUCCAGCCAUACCGCGUGGGUGAAGAAGGCCUUCGGGUUGUAAAGCCCCUUUGUUGGGAAAGAAAAGCAGCAGGUUAAUACCCCGCUGUUCUGACGGUACCCAAAGAAUAAGCACCGGCUAACUUCGUG